UACGUAGGGGGCAAGCGUUGUCCGGAUUUAUUGGGCGUAAAGAGCGUGUAGGCGGCCAGGUAGGUCGGUUGUGAAAACUGGAGGCUCAACCUUCAGAGGUCGACCGAAACCAUCUGGCUAGAGUCCGGGAGAGGAGAGUGGAAUUCCUGGUGUAGCGGUGGAAUGCGCAGAUAUCAGGAGGAACACCAAUAGCGAAGGCAGCUCGCUGGGACGUUACUGACACUGAGGCGCGAAAGCGUGGGGAGCGAACAGG
rnacentral:rRNA from 1 species